AGCACCUAAAAGCGUUUUCUCGCAAGCCUGUUAAAUGCUCUUGAAAAUCGUAGAUGUGUGCCAGAGCAACCUCCGCAACAGCAAGCGACUCGAGUUUCUGUAGCUCUUGUCCGUUUACGUUGCGGACAAUA